GACGUAGGGCGCGAGCGUUGUCCGGAUUUAUUGGGCGUAAAGAGCUCGUAGGCGGCUUGUCGCGUCGACCGUGAAAACUUGGGGCUCAACCCCAAGCCUGCGGUCGAUACGGGCAGGCUCGAGUUCGGUAGGGGAGACUGGAAUUCCUGGUGUAGCGGUGAAAUGCGCAGAUAUCAGGAGGAACACCGAUGGCGAAGGCAGAUCUCUGGGCCGUUACUGACGCUGAGGAGCGAAAGCGUGGGGAGCGAACAGG
rnacentral:rRNA from 1 species